AGGACGAACGCUGGCGGCGUGCUUAACACAUGCAAGUCGAGCGGUGAUCCUCCUUCGGGAGGUGAUCAGCGGCGAACGGGUGAGUAACACGUGGGCAACCUGCCCCUCACACUGGGAUAACCUCGGGAAACUGGGGCUAAUACCGGAUACGACCUCGAGCGGCAUCUCUUGAGGUGGAAAGCUCCGACGGUGAGGGAUGGGCCCGCGGCCUAUCAGCUUGUUGGUGGGUAAUGGCCUACCAAGGCGACGACGGGUA
rnacentral:rRNA from 1 species